rnacentral:rRNA from 1 species
GACGAACGCUGGCGGCGUGCCUAAUGCAUGCAAGUAGAACGCUGAAGGAGGAGCUUGCUUCUCUGGAUGAGUUGCGAACGGGUGAGUAACGCGUAGGUAACCUGCCUGGUAGCGGGGGAUAACUAUUGGAAACGAUAGCUAAUACCGCAUAACAGUAGAUAUCGCAUGAUAUCUACUUGAAAGGUGCAAUUGCAUCACUACCAGAUGGACCUGCGUUGUAUUAGCUAGUUGGUGAGGUAACGGCUCACCAAGGCGACGAUACAUAGCCGACCUGAGAGGGUGAUCGGCCACACUGGGACUGAGACACGGCCCAGACUCCUACGGGAGGCAGCAGUAGGGAAUCUUCGGCAAUGGACGGAAGUCUGACCGAGCAACGCCGCGUGAGUGAAGAAGGUUUUCGGAUCGUAAAGCUCUGUUGUAAGAGAAGAACGAGUGUGAGAGUGGAAAGUUCACACUGUGACGGUAUCUUACCAGAAAGGGACGGCUAACUACGUG